rnacentral:rRNA from 1 species
GAUGAACGCUGGCGGCGCGCCUAACACAUGCAAGUCGAACGAUUAAAGCACCUUCGGGUGUGUAUAAAGUGGCGAACGGCUGAGUAACACGUGGGCAACCUGCCCCUCUCAUUGGGAUAGCCACGGGAAACCGUGGAUAAUACCGAAUACUUCGGGACUUCCGCAUGGAAGACUCGAGAAAGCUCCGGCGGAGAGGGAUGGGCCCGCGGCCUGUUAGCUUGUUGGUGGGGUAAUGGCCUACCAAGGCAAUGAUGGGUAGCUGGGUUGAGAGACCGACCAGCCAGGGUGGGACGAGAGACACGCCCAGGCCCCCGCGGGGGGGAGGGGGGGGGAAUUUUGGAAAAAGGGGGAAAGGCCGGAGGCGGCGACCCGGGGGGGGGGUGAAGGCCUUCGGGUUUGAAACCCGUUUUCGGCGGGGAGGGGGGAAAAGUGAGGGACCCGGAAAAAGAGACCCGGACAAACUCCGGG